GACGAACGCUGGCGGCGUGCUUAACACAUGCAAGUCGAACGAAGUGGCGUACGGGUGAGUAACGCGUAAUCAACCUGCACUUCAGAGGGGGACAACAGUUGGAAACGACUGUUAAUACCGCAUACUGAAGGACGUGCUUGCGUCUGAUUAGCUAGUUGGAGGGGUAACGGCCCACCACGGCGAUGAUCAGUAGCCGGUCUGAGAGGAUGAACGGCCAAAUUGGGACUGAGACACGGCCCAGACUCCUACGGGAUGCAGCAGUGGGGAAUCUUCCGAAAUGGAAGAAAGUCUGACGGAGCAACGCCGCGGGAGUGAUGACGGCUUUCGGGUUGUAAAGCUCUGUUAAGCGGGACGCGGUACCGGAAUAGAAAGCCACGGCUAACUACGUGACAGCCGCCGCGGUAAUAC
rnacentral:rRNA from 1 species